rnacentral:lncRNA from 1 species
GGAAGACUUUCACAGACUUCUCCAGAAUUUGCUUGCUAAUACAUUGUAAUUAAUAUAUUAGCCCUGUUUCUGUUGUUCUUUUUAUCACCUUUUUAAGGUUUUCUCCACCACAUGAGGCACUUUGUUCAGUUGCUGCAGAACCAAUGGAACAAUUUUACCUACAAAGCAAAUAAGCACUGGUGAGAAGCUGCAGUCAGUGUGAACAGAGACGGCCUUCAAGCCAUGCGGACAGUCCCUUGAAGACAGCCACUCGCAUCAGGCAUAAGCUGCCCAUGGCACACAAGAACUCACCCUUGCUUCUGCAAGAAGGAAGCACUCCACUGCAGAUGGCUCUCUAACAGUAAUGCACACAAAUCCUACAUUCACAAAGAAGCUCUUUUGUUUUUCUAGAGGGGAGGACUAACUUAAGGUGCUGAAUGGAGCUUGUGAAAUCAGCAAAACAAAUUACUUUAACAAUACUACUUACAUGAGUAAUGAAGAUGAGCUCCUUCCCCGGAGUCAUUUGUAUCUAUUUAAGACAGAGCGAUUCUUGUGCAUCUGCUGUGCGUGCCCCGUUCCUACCCAUGGACAUUAGUGAACGCACAAGAGAAAGCAGGGAUGCUGGUUGUUUUUAAUGAAAAGGUAAGAGAGAUGCUUGCGGUUUGUUGCUGCGGGCAGACCCGGCGGCUGCGGCCCUGAGAGCAGUGAGCGGGCUGGGGUAACCGCGGGGAGACAACGCUCACAACAGACCUUGGGGCCUUGAAUAGGAAAGAUCUGAAAGCAGCACAUAUCCUCCGCUAAAACGAGAAGGGGUACAAAUGAAGGAACUGAGCUUUUUCUUCUCAACUUCAGGGCGUGUUUUUUCCCCUGGCUAAUUCUGAGGGGAGGGCAAAGGACUCCUGCGCAGGGAAAAUGCCGACGA